UGGGGUUGUGACUCAGUGGUAGAGUACUCACCUAGCAUGGGUGAGGCACUGGGUUCAAUCCUCAGCACCACAA
rnacentral:tRNA from 1 species